rfam:Triticum aestivum genome assembly, contig: Triticum_aestivum_CS42_TGACv1_scaffold_062627_1DL
AUACCUUUCUCGGCCUUUUGGCUAAGAUCAAGUGUAUUAUCUGUUCUUAUCAGUUUAAUAUCUGAUAUGUGGACUACAUGUCCACAACGAUAUUAAAUUUAUUUUUUUUGGGAGAGGAUCCAUCAUAGUGGCUUGCCACUCAGGUCGUCGCGUGUUCCCCGGGCGUUGCACUGUAGCCCGGGCGUGGCGCACCCCAA